UACGUAGGGUCCGAGCGUUGUCCGGAAUUAUUGGGCGUAAAGGGCUCGUAGGCGGUUCGUCGCGUCGGGAGUGAAAACUCGGGGCUUAACUCCGGGCCUGCAGUGGGUACGGGCUGACUAGAGUGCGGUAGGGGAGACUGGAAUUCCUGGUGUAGCGGUGAAAUGCGCAGAUAUCAGGAGGAACACCGGUGGCGAAGGCGGGUCUCUGGGCCGUAACUGACGCUGAGGAGCGAAAGCGUGGGGAGCGAACAGG
rnacentral:rRNA from 1 species